UACAGAGGUUUCAAGCGUUGUUCGGAUUCAUUGGGCGUAAAGGGUGCGUAGGCGGCGUGGUAAGUCGGGUGUGAAAUCUCGGAGCUUAACUCCGAAACUGCAUUCGAUACUGCCGUGCUUGAGGACUGGAGAGGAGACUGGAAUUUACGGUGUAGCGGUGAAAUGCGUAGAUAUCGUAAGGAAGACCAGUGGCGAAGGCGGGUCUCUGGACAGUUCCUGACGCUGAGGCACGAAGGUCAGGGGAGCAAACGGG
rnacentral:rRNA from 1 species